UUAUGGCUCAGGAUGAACGGCUGGCGGCGUGCCUAACACAUGCAAGUCGAACGGACGAGGGGAGCUUGCUCCCCAAGUUAGUGGCGGACGGGUGAGUAACACGUGAGCAACCUGCCCUUCGGAGGGGGACAACAGUUGGAAACGGCUGCUAAUACCGCAUGACACAGCGGGGAGGCAUCUCUCUGCUGUCAAAGAUUUAUCGCCGAAGGAUGGGCUCGCGUCUGAUUAGAUAGUUGGUGGGGUAACGGCCUACCAAGUCGACGAUCAGUAGCCGGACUGAGAGGUUGAACGGCCACAUUGGGACUGAGAUACGGCCCAGACUCCUACGGGAGGCAGCAGUGGGGAAUAUUGGGCAAUGGGGGCAACCCUGACCCAGCAACGCCGCGUGAGUGAAGAAGGCUUUCGGGUUGUAAAGCUCUGUUAUAGGGGACGAAGGAAGUGACGGUACCCUAUAAGGAAGCCCCGGCUAACUACGUGCCAGCAGCAGC
rnacentral:rRNA from 1 species